ensembl:lncRNA
CUGUUGCUCAUGCGAGGUUAUGUUUGAGUGGGGGGAAGUCUCCUCUCGAUGAGGUGUAUCCUCACUGCUUCUCUCCACAGCGGCCUCAUCAUGAGGUGUAUCCUCACUGCUUCUCUCCACAGCGGCCUCUCGAUGAGGUGUAUCCUCACUGCUUCUGUCCACAGCGGCCUCAUCAUGAGGUGUAUCCUCACUGCUUCUCUCCACAGCGGCCUCUCGAUGAGGUGUAUCCUCACUGCUUCUCUUCACAGCGGCCUCCGUUUCUGCAGCGGCCUC